rnacentral:rRNA from 1 species
CCUCAUGCAUCGGGAUAACUGCUGGAAACGGCAGCUAAUACCGGAUACUCUUGAGAGACCGCAUGAUCUCUCAAGGAAAGCUUUCGCGGCAUGAGAUGGGGUCGCGGCCCAUUAGGUAGACGGUAGGGUAGUGGCCUACCGUGCCUGCGAUGGGUAGCCGGACUGAGAGGUCGAUCGGCCACAUUGGGACUGAGAUACGGCCCAGACUCCUACGGGAGGCAGCAGUGGGGAAUAUUGCGCAAUGGGGGAAACCCUGACGCAGCAACGCCGCGUGCGGGAUGAAGGCUUUCGGGUUGUAAACCGCUUUCAGCAGGGAAGAUAAUGACGGUACCUGCAGAAGAAGCCCCGGCUAACUACGUG